GGUCUUCUCAGCCUCAGCAUCCGCCGCCGUUGUCUCCUCCUCUGGAAGUGCCGCCGCCGCCUCUGAUCCAGCGCCGCCACCGCCGCACCACCAACUUGCUCGCCGGAUCCAUGGCCACCGGUGCCAGAUCGGCUCAUGGCUCGGCCGUAUCCGGCCAUCCUUCCCCCUUCCCCUCCCCUCCCCCAAGACUAGGCGGCCAUCGCUCAAACCCCCUCGGAGGAGGGCUCAAGACAGAGGGGCGAGAGCAGGGUCGAUGGGAGGCCACAUUGCCGGUUCUCCACGGCGUGCGGUCACGUGCCCCGGCGCUCUGGGCCGGCAGGCGCGGGCGAAGGAGGCACGACGAAAGAGGACGACGAUCUCACGGCGGCGCCGGCCUCGAAGUUGGCGACGGCGAGGAAGACGAAGAACAGGGCCAUUGAUUGAUUCCAUGGACGGAUGAAGCGACGCCAUGAACGGGCGUCUCCUUGCACGCACGCAGUAACUGCCCCUUGAAGGGACACACCGAUUCACCAAGAGGGAUGGAUGAGAUCAACCCUUAAUUAUUUAUAACAAUUAUGAGAUGUACAUGUAUUACGUGUCCUUAUAUAGAGAAUUUUUAUACUUUU